ensembl:snoRNA
CCCUCCUACAAAGGCGUGUCCUUUGCUCCCUGUCUUUGGACGCGUAAGAACUGGAGGCAAAGAAAUGAGGAUUUGGAGAGAUCUCGGGCCGGCUUGCUCCCCGCAGGCUCAAGAUCACCUGUCCCACAAUA